UUGUAAUCAGAAGAGAAGAAGUUGCUGCCUUGAUAUUUCCAUUUUUAUCACUUUUAUUUACUUCAUUUUAAUGUCUUUCAGGGAAUAUUUUCUUUGCACCAAGGCAAGGCAAGGCUGACGGUUGCUUACAUCUUUCUGCCGCCCCUGCCCCUCAGCCAGGCUGGGACAGGGGAGAAGAGAUUUUGGAUUCCCAGCCCAGCCCUGAUGGUGAGGGAUUAGUUACAAGGUGCCUUAACCCACAGCCCUGGAGGAGGGUCCUGGGAGCCUGUUCCUGAGAGGAGCCUGUCACGGUUGAGGAACAGGUUUCACGCUGAAGAGCAGAAAGGCCGGGCGCUGGUGGGAUCAAUGUGGUUUCUGUCACUGAAUAGAGAAAGGUCAAGGCUGGAAAUGAUGCAUCGCCUCAGCACCAGGAGCCCCAGAGGGCCGUGACAACACAGCCGGAACAGGCCUCUCAUAGCCCGGCAAGAGUGUCGAUGGGCCAUGACAGCCUCCAGGACUGCACGGCCAUCCCGUUGGUGUUUCCUUGCAACCAGCACAGAUGAGACACUGUCAUCACCCCAUUGUGCAGCCAGAAACACCAAGGCCAAGAGCUGGAAGAUGCCCACCUGUCAGGACAAGCAGAGCCACAGGGCCAGCCUCGGCCUCCUGGGGAAAGGCCAGGGCUCCGCUGCUAGAGGCGGUUAGGCCACCAAAUGAAAAGCCCUCAUUAACUAAUAAAAAGUGCUUGCA